UCUGCCUAGUAGUGGGGGAUAACUUGCCGAAAGGUAAGCUAAUACCGCAUACGUCCUACGGGAGAAAGCAGGGGACCUUCGGGCCUUGCGCUAUUAGAUGAGCCUAGGUCGGAUUAGUUAGUUGGUGAGGUAAUGGCUCACCAAGACUGCGAUCCGUAACUGGUCUGAGAGGAUGAUCAGUCACACUGGAACUGAGACACGGUCCAGACUCCUACGGGAGGCAGCAGUGGGGAAUAUUGGACAAUGGGGGAAACCCUGAUCCAGCCAUGCCGCGUGUGUGAAGAAGGUCUUAGGAUUGUAAAGCACUUUAAGUUGGGAGGAAGGGCAGUUAACUAAUAUUUGACUGUUUUGGCGUUACCGACAGAAUAAGCACCGGCUAACUUCGUGCCAGCAGCCGCGGUAAUACGAAGGGUGCAAGCGUUAAUCGGAAUUACUGGGCGUAAAGCGCGCGUAGGUGGUUCGUUAAGUUAGGAGUGAAAGCCCCGGGCUCCAACUGGGAAUUGCUUCUAAAACUGGUGAGCUAGAGUACGGUAAAGGGUGGUGGAAUUUCCUGUGUAGCGGUGAAAUGCGUAGAUAUAGGAAGGAACAUCAGUGGCGAAGGCCGACCACCUGGACUGAUACUGACACUGAGGUGCGAAAGCGUGGGGAGCAAACAGGAUUAAAUACCCUGUUAGUCCCCGCCGUAAACGAUUGUCCAUU
rnacentral:rRNA from 1 species